rnacentral:rRNA from 1 species
AACGAACGCUGGCGGCAUGCCUAGCACAUGCAAGUCGAACGAGACCUUCGGGUCUAGUGGCGCACGGGUGCGUAACGCGUGGGAACCUGCCCUUAGGUUCGGAAUAACUCCCCGAAAGGGGUGCUAAUACCGGAUAAUGUCUUCGGACCAAAGAUUUAUCGCCUUUGGAUGGGCCCGCGUUGGAUUAGCUAGUUGGUAGGGUAAAAGCCUACCAAGGCGACGAUCCAUAGCUGGUCUGAGAGGAGGAUCAGCCACACUGGGACUGAGACACGGCCCAGACUCCUACGGGAGGCAGCAGUGGGGAAUAUUGGACAAUGGGCGAAAGCCUGAUCCAGCAAUGCCGCGUGAGUGAUGAAGGCCUUAGGGUUGUAAAGCUCUUUUACCCGGGAUGAUAAUGACAGUACCGGGAGAAUAAGCUCCGGCUAACUCCGU